rnacentral:rRNA from 1 species
UGGGUAACCUGCCCUCAGCUUUGGGAUAACCCUCGGAAACGGGGGCUAAUACCGGAUAUUCACUGCUUCGCGCAUGUGGGGUGGUGGAAAGUUUUUCGGCUGGGGAUGGGCUCGCGGCCUAUCAGCUUGUUGGUGGGGUGAUGGCCUACCAAGGCGACGACGGGUAGCCGGCCUGAGAGGGCGUCCGGCCACACUGGGACUGAGACACGGCCCAGACUCCUACGGGAGGCA